AUUGAACGCUGGCGGUAGGCCUAACACAUGCAAGUCGAACGAGUGGCGGACGGGUGAGUAAUGCCUCGGAAUCUGCCUGGUCGUGGGGGAUAACGUCCGGAAACGGGCGCUAAUACCGCAUACUAUCAGAUGAGCCUAGGUCGGAUUAGCUAGUUGGUGGGGUAAAGGCCUACCAAGGCGACGAUCCGUACCUGGUCUGAGAGGAUGACCAGCCACACUGGAACUGAGACACGGUCCAGACUCCUACGGGAGGCAGCAGUGGGGAAUAUUGCACAAUGGGCGCAAGCCUGAUGCAGCCAUGCCGCGUGUGUGAAGAAGGCCUUCGGGUUGUAAAGCACUUUCAGCGGGGAGGCGUUACCCGCAGAAGAAGCACCGGCUAACUCCGUGCCAGCCGCCGCGGUAAUAC
rnacentral:rRNA from 1 species